GCCCAUGGCAUGUGGAAGGUCCCAGGCCAGAGAUUUAACCCCACCAGAGCAGCAACCCAAGCCGCUGCAGUGACAACCCAGGAGGAUACUUAACCCCCUGUGCCAAAAGAGAACUCCCAAAGCAGAUUCUUUUAGGAGGCAACAGCAUCUAGAAAGUCUAACUGUGUUGGGUUUUCUUGGUUAAGUUUCCCCUUUGCAGUGUCUUUCACUGUCAUAGUGCUUAGUCAAUGAAAACAACAUGCCUCCACCAGUUAAUACCUGGAAGACAAGCUCAGAAUCAUGACAAAGAAGCAAAGGCAAGGGCAGUUUUAGUUUGGGGGUGGGGGGAAGAAAGGCAAAGAUGGCAAAUCUUUAAAAAAAAAAUCUCCUCAGAAGACUAAAUAUAGAACUACCAUGUGACCCAGCAAUCCCACUCAUGGAAAUAUAUCUGGACAAACUUUCCUUGAAAAGACACGUGCAGCACUAAUCACAAUAGCCAAGACAUGGAAACAACCUGCAUGUUCAUCAAAAGAUGAUUGGAUUAAGAAGUGUGGUAAAUAUAAAUGAUGGAAUACUACUCAGCCAUAAAAAAGAAGAAAAUAAUGCCAUUUGCAGCAACAUGGAUGGAACGAGAGACUCUCAUAAUAAGUGAAGUUAAGUCAGAAAGAGAAAGACAAAUACCAUAUGCUAUCACUUAUAUCUGGAAUCUAAUAUAUGGCACAAAUGAACCUAUCUACAGAAAAGAAACUCAUGGACUUGGAGAACAGACUUGUGGAUACCAAAGGGGGAGGGGGAGGUAGUGGGAUGGACUGCGAGUCUUGGGUUAAUAGAUGCAAACUAUAGCCUUUAGAAUGGAUAAGCAACGAGAGUCUGCUCUAUAGCACUGGGAAGGAUAUCUAGUCACUUCUGAUGGAGCAGGAUAACUGAGAAAAAGAAUGUAUACACGUAUGUGUGACUGGGUCACUUUGCUGUACAGCAGAAAAUUGACAGAACAGUGUAAAACAACAAUACAGUUGUUAUAGGGAAAAAAAUCAUUUAAAAAAUAAAUAAAAUUUAAUUUGCCAUAAAUUAGGCAAAAUUUAGGCUGUUAGGCAAAAAUGAUCAGGUGAAAACCAUACUCAUGUUUCCCUUUCAUAGCACACAGUUUUUGCUGGAAAAUGAACAAAAACACUUGCAAUGAAAUGUGGAGUUUAUGACAUAUAGAAGUUAAAUGUAUGACUAUAAUAGCACAGGGUCCAGGAAGAGAGACACAUUCUGAAAUAAAGGCUGUUUUACUACACAAUAAGUGUCAUAAAAUCACUCAAAAGUAAGCUGUGAUAAGAUGUUCAUCAUGACAAAAUUUGAGGGGACCUGCACACUCAGAAUUUUUAUCAUAGUGAUAUUUUUACAAAUGACUAUUUAUGCUACAACAUCAAAUUUUAUACUUUCAAUGUUUUCAGUUUCCAGGCUAUCAAUUAUGUCUAAAUAAAGCUGUUUAAAGGGGGGGGGAUUUAAAAUUUGUGCUGAAAAUCUGUGUUCUAAUUGAGCGUCUAGGAUUUCCUUGCUAAGUUUGUGCCUCUGGUCAUGUGGCUUGCUAUUUAUGUCCUUUAGUUUUCUCAUUCACAGACUUUCUCUCUUGUUUGGGGAUUACAUAAGAGAAGAGACGCACCUAAUACAGAGUAAGUUCACGACAUGCCAGGCUUCACCAUCGUAGUCAUUUCCAAUCAUCAUCCGCUCCAUCUCAAAUUCCUGGUUAGAGUGAGGGUAGAGCGUCUUUAAGUAGGAAGUACUUUUAGAGUUAGUGUCUGUCUUAAUGUGCUUCCAGACAUAAUACACACGGCUUCUUUAAAACGGGUCAAAGGCCACAUCUGUAAUUUUUAAAAUUCUUAUACACCAGUGGGAAAAAAAUAUCUACACAAAAAUCUUCUCCAUCAAGCCAGAAAGUAGUCAUGUACAUGCUGAUUUUGUGUCAAGAUUUAUAAACACACAACGUGUCUUUUACAUAUUAGGAAUUCAUGAAUGUAUACCUGGCGGCAUGCAUGGAUGAACCACAGUGCCAAUUUUUGUGCUUUAAUAGUGUGAUGUGAUCACUAAGCCAUAAAACAUCUUUAGUAAACAGCAUUCAGCAGAAUGUGAUUAAUCUAAACAUCUUUGAAACCUUUACUGACUGUGCGUGUUGUGGAUGUGAAAUUUCUGGAAACUGAAUCUCUAGCCUGUUGGAACAAUGGCGGGACAGAUGGCCAGUUGUUACAUAAGGCAGUAGUUGAAGAAUUUGCCUCUCAGCAACCUCUUCAAGCUAAGAGUAAGCAUCUGGUGGGUAUGGACGAGGUAUUAAGUGGACUGCAGAGUCUGGGAGGGAAGCCACAUGGCUGCUCUGAGUUCUCUAGGCUUCCUCAAAGACAGCGCCAUAUGGAUGUACAUUGGGAGAAGGGUGGCUCAAAUGGAAACUGAAGAAAGAAACAAGCUGAAGGAAAUGAGAAACAGAAGUUCAGCAGAUUUGCGAAGAACUAAAAUCGGAGGCCUAAACUUGAGCUCAUAGUUGUUUCCAUUUAUUAUACAACUUACUUCAUGACAUUUCUCUGCCAAGGCAAUGCCAUUUAAGGACUGACACAGUGUGAUUCAUAGAGUCCUACACACGGAGCUAUUUUAUGAUUGUUUGGUAUGUCAGGGUCCAUUUGUAUAUUUAGUUCUCUACAUACGUUAACUAUUUCUUUGUAAAAAAUUUUCCUGGACUUACAAGUUGUGCGCGUUUCAGGUGUACAGCAAUGUGAAUCAUAUAUAUAUAUAUAUAUAUGCCCACUUUUUCUCAUAUAAGUUAUUGCAACCUGAUUAGAUUUCCCUGUGCUAUGCAGGACAUUCUCAUGAAUCAUCUAUUUUAUACAGUAGUGUGUACAUUUUAUUCCAGUCCUCCAAAUUCCUCCCUUUCCCCACGGUAACAGUAAGAUCGAUUUUGAGAUCUGUGAAUUUGUUUCUGUUUUAUACAUAAGUUCUUUUGUAUCGUUUUUAUUAGAUUCAACAUAUACAUGAUAUCACCAACCCUUCUGUUUACAGUCUUUUCUUGACAGAACACCAGUUACCAUUUUUGUUAAAAUCAGUGUUGGCAAUCAAAAUAACAUGUUUCAAGAUUGGUAAAUCUCCAAACACACACACACACACACACACACACACACCCACUCGGUCUGACUCAAAUGUCUGUUUAGAGUUUACCAGGAAGGGCAUUUCAUGUUCUUUUAAACUUCUUCUUCUCCAGAAACUUUUACUGAGCACUUGCUAUAUACGGGGUUCUGUGAUGUGAGAUAAAAAUACAACACUAAACAAGAAUGUUUUAAAUCCGGGAGCUGGAAGUCACAGAAAAAUACGUCAAGAGACUCCACUGGCGUGGUGGUAGUCAAUCCAAUAAUGAUGACAUAUAUUUGACCCUGGAAAAGCAAAGGAGAUUCCUGCCCAAGCCUGGGGUGACCAAUGAUGGAGGUCAGAGAGGGCUUCCUGGAAGAGGAGACAUCCAAUUAAUACUAGUUACUAACCCAAACAUAGUGAGGAAGGAAGAAACGCAGAGGGAAAAAAAUACAGCAUCAUUUGCAGAGACACAGAAGCUUGAUAGAGCUAAGCAUUUUAGGAUAUUUGGUGAGUCACGAAGUUGUUGGAGAAGGAAUAAGGAUUGAGUGUGGCAAGCGGGGUGGAGACUAGCUCAUAAUGAAAACUUUCAUGCUCUCCUUUGCUAAUCCUGGGUAUGAUAAAAGGACAUCAAUUGUUUUUAGUCGGGGAAAAGAUAGAAACAGAAUAACAAUUUUGGUAGCAUGGUAGAGAAAGGAGCUCAAAAGCUUAGGGUGUGAGUGCAUGAGAAGCAUUAGUUCUGCGGGCCUCUGGGCUUGGAGAGUGCACAAGGCGUCCCCUUGCACUUUCUUCUUUGGGACAAGCAAUGUCCAGUGACACAGGAAAAGAAGGGGCUGUGAGCAUGGCAGGGUCCCCAGGUACAGUGUUUCCAGGCUCAGACGUGGGCUGUCAGACACGUUUUUCUCCCCAAAAGCUGAAUCGCAGCCCAGCAGGCAAAGGGGACGGACCACAAGGUUCAAUCUGAUUUCCAGACUCUGUCAUUAGUCUGUGUAUAAGUGAAUACAUAAAUCUCUUUUCCAAGCGCAAUCUUUACGUGUGUGCGCCUGUGUGUAAACUGUGAAGCGAAUAUGUUCGUCACAGAACACUGCCACCUACUAGGCAUGACGUGUGUUUAAGCAAAAUACUUGUAAGCUCACUUCAUUUUAUUUUAUUUGUAUUUUUUAUUUUUUGGUUAUUUUGGCCACGCCCACACAUGUGGAAGUUCCCAGGCCAGGGAUCAAAUCCAGUGACCCGAGUCUCAGCAGUGACAACACUGGAUCCUUAACCUGUGGCACCACCAGGGAACUCCUGCAAGCUCCCUUGUGGCUUUUGGACUGGGCUCCCUGUGACGUGGGGCCAUUUCCCCCCCCCACACACACACACAUCCUUCCUAUGGAGGACCUGCUUUGGUCACAGACAAGGACAGUCAGAGCAGCCCAGCUCUCACAGGGGUCAGCACGAUGCUCCCUUAUCCUGGGUGCUCAGCCCGGGGGGAGGGGGGCCUCCCCCGCUCCAGCGCAAUGCCCAGCAGCCAAGGCCAGCCUUCUCCUGGUGGCCCUCAUUCCUCAGAAGGUAACCCUCUCCGUCUCCUUCUCAAGGGACGGGAGCCACGUUUCCUUCUUCUGGCUGCUUUAACUGCCAGUAGCUCAUGUUCUCUCUAAAGCUUUCUUUAGAAAUAAGGACCAGAAAGAUGGUGAGGGCCACUGAGAGGAAAAGACUGACGUGUGUUCCCCUCCAAGCUCAUCCAUGGCCCCCAGAACUCAUUUCGGGGCACCACAAUGUGCCAGAAAUAGAACGCCAAGCCACAUGGGCAAUUCUGAAUUGUCUUGAAGCCACUUUCAACAAGGAAAAAGAAUCAACUGGCCUCAAUUCUAAUGAUACGUCUCAUUUAACAAAAGGUAUCCAAAAUGGUAUCAUUUCAUUAUGCAAUCAACACAAAAUUAUUGGUGAGGCAUUUUACCUUUGCUUUUUUGGCACUGUGUUUGCAAUCCGAUGUGCAUCUCACGGUCAUAGCCCUUUUCCAUUGAGAAGUAUGUCCGGGGUCCAGAAGCCAUGCUCUAGAGGACU
rnacentral:lncRNA from 1 species